rnacentral:rRNA from 1 species
CACGUAGGGUGCGAGCGUUGUCCGGAAUUAUUGGGCGUAAAGAGCUCGUAGGCGGUGUGUCGCGUCGGCCGUGAAAACCUGCAGCUUAACUGUGGGCUUGCGGUCGAUACGGGCAUCACUGGAGUUCGGCAGGGGAGACUGGAAUUCCUGGUGUAGCGGUGAAAUGCGCAGAUAUCAGGAGGAACACCGGUGGCGAAAGCGAGCUGCUGGACCUCAUCUGACGCUGGGGCGCGAAAGCCAGGGGAGCGAACGGG